UUUUCUGUUUGUUGAGUGUUGAAGAAUAAAAAAAAAAAAAAAAAAAAAAAAAAAAAAAAAAAAUCUGUUCUUAUCAGUUUAAUAUCUGAUACGUCCCCUACCCGGGGACCGUAUAUUAAAUUGAUUUUUGGAGCAGGGAGAUGGAAUAGGGGCUUGCUCCGUCCACUCCACGCAUCGACCCGGUUUGCAGAUAUGGGAACGGUGCACCCCCU
rnacentral:snRNA from 1 species